GCAAUGCAAUGCAAUGCAAAGUAUCAUUAUUAUUAAAAGUGCAACAUGCACAAAAUUGUAAUCAAAAAAUGAUAAAGAUUGGUGCAACAUAGCCCCGUCUAUAAUUGCUUGCAAUAAGGCGGAGGUAGAGCGUAUAUGCUGGGACCCGAAAGAUGGUGAACUAUACCUGAGCAGGAUGAAGCCAGAGGAAACUCUGGUGGAAGUCCGAAGCGAUUCUGACGUGCAAAUCGAUCGUCUGACUUUGGUAUAGGGGCGAAAGACUAAUCGAACUAUCUAGUAGCUGGUUCCCUCUGAAGUUUCCCUCAGGAUAGCUGGAGUAAGUAUAAAAGCAGUUAUAUUCGGUAAAGCGAAUGAUUAGAGGAAUUGUGGGACGAAAUGUCCUCAACCUAUUCUCAAACUUUCAAUGAGUAUGAUGUCUUGCUUGCUUAAUUAUUAUUAUAUAAUUGAAGCGUAGACAUUGAAUGUUUACUCCAAGUGGGCCAUUUUUGGUAAGCAGAACUGGCGCUGUGGGAUGAACCAAACGUUGAGUUAAAGUGCAAAACUUUCCGCUCAUUAGACCCAAUGAAAGGCGUUGGUUGAUAUA
rnacentral:ncRNA from 1 species